AUUGAACGCUGGCGGCAGGCCUAACACAUGCAAGUCGAGCGGAUGACGGGAGCUUGCUCCUUGAUUCAGCGGCGGACGGGUGAGUAAUGCCUAGGAAUCUGCCUGGUAGUGGGGGACAACGUUUCGAAAGGAACGCUAAUACCGCAUGCGUCCUACGGGAGAAAGCAGGGGACCUUCGGGCCUUGCGCUAUCAGACGAGCCUAGGUCGGAUUAGCUUGUUGGUGAGGUAAUGGCUCACCAAGGCGACGAUCCGUAACUGGUCUGAGAGGAUGGUCAGUCAGACUGGAACUGGGACACGGUCCAGACUCCUACGGAAGGCAGCAGUGGGGAAUAUUGGACAAUGGGCGAAAGCCUGAUCCAGCCAUGCCGCGUGUGUGAAGAAGGUCUUCGGAUUGUAAAGCACUUUAAGUUGGGAGGAAGGGUUGUAGAUUAAUACUCUGCAAUUUUGACGUUACCGACAGAAUAAGCACCGGCUAACUCUGUGCCAGCCGCCGCAGUAAUAC
rnacentral:rRNA from 1 species